GACGAACGCUGGCGGCGUGCUUAACACAUGCAAGUCGAACGCUGAAGACCUGGCUUUUGUUGGGUUGGAUGAGUGGCGAACGGGUGAGUAACACGUGAGUAACCUGCCCUCUUCUUUGGGAUAACGCCCGGAAACGGGUGCUAAUACUGGAUAUUCACUGAUCUUCGCAUGGGGGUUGGUGGAAAGGUUUGUUCUGGUGGGGGAUGGGCUCGCGGCCUAUCAGCUUGUUGGUGGGGUGAUGGCCUACCAAGGCUUUGACGGGUAGCCGGCCUGAGAGGGUGACCGGUCACAUUGGGACUGAGAUACGGCCCAGACUCCUACGGGAGGCAGCAGUGGGGAAUAUUGCACAAUGGGCGAAAGCCUGAUGCAGCGACGCCGCGUGAGGGAUGGAGGCCUUCGGGUUGUGAACCUCUUUCGCUCAUGGUCAAGCCGCAACUGUGGGUUGUGGUGAGGGUAGUGGGUAAAGAAGCGCCGGCUAACUACGUG
rnacentral:rRNA from 1 species